GACGUAGGGAGCGAGCGUUGUCCGGAUUCAUUGGGCGUAAAGCGCGCGGUAGGCGGCCUCGCAAGUCGGGUUGUGAAAUCCCGGGGCUCAACCCCGGGACUGCGUCCGAUACUGCGAGGCUGGAGGUAGGUAGGGGAGAUCGGAAUUCCUGGUGUAGCGGUGAAAUGCGCAGAUAUCAGGAGGAACACCGGUGGCGAAGGCGGGAUCUCUGGGGCCUUAACCUGGACGCUGGAGGCGCGAAAGCGUGGGGAGCAAACAGG
rnacentral:rRNA from 1 species